GAUGAACGCUGGCGGCGUGCCUAAUACAUGCAAGUAGAACGCUGAAGGAGGAGCUUGCUCUUCUGGAAGAGUUGCGAACGGGUGAGUAACGCGUAGGUAACCUGCCUCUUAGCGGGGGAUAACUAUUGGAAACGAUAGCUAAUACCGCAUAAAAGUCGACAUUGCAUGAUGUUGACUUGAAAGGUGCAACUGCAUCACUAAGAGAUGGACCUGCGUUGUAUUAGCUAGUUGGUGAGGUAACGGCUCACCAAGGCGACGAUACAUAGCCGACCUGAGAGGGUGAUCGGCCACACUGGGACUGAGACACGGCCCAGACUCCUACGGGAGGCAGCAGUAGGGAAUCUUCGGCAAUGGGGGCAACCCUGACCGAGCAACGCCGCGUGAGUGAAGAAGGUUUUCGGAUCGUAAAGCUCUGUUGUAAGAGAAGAACGAGUGUGAGAGUGGAAAGUUCACGCUGUGACGGUAUCUUACCAGAAAGGACGGCUAA
rnacentral:rRNA from 1 species